GCGGGUAUAGCUUAGUGGUAAAGCUCCAGCCUUCCAAGCUGAUUAUGCGGGUUCGAUUCCCGCUACCCGCUCCA
rnacentral:tRNA from 1 species